AGUUUGAUCAUGGCUCAGAUUGAACGCUGGCGGCAGGCCUAACACAUGCAAGUCGAGCGGAAACGAGUUAUCUGAACCUUCGGGGAACGAUAACGGCGUCGAGCGGCGGACGGGUGAGUAAUGCCUAGGAAAUUGCCCUGAUGUGGGGGAUAACCAUUGGAAACGAUGGCUAAUACCGCAUGAUGCUACGGGCCAAAGAGGGGGACUUCGGGCCUCUCGCGUCAGGAUAUGCCUAGGUGGGAUUAGCUAGUUGGUGAGGUAAGGGCUCACCAAGGCGACGAUCCCUAGCUGGUCUGAGAGGAUGAUCAGCCACACUGGAACUGAGACACGGUCCAGACUCUACGGGAGGCAGCAGUGGGGAAUAUUGCACAAUGGGCGCAAGCCUGAUGCAGCCAUGCCGCGUGUGUGAAGAAGGCUUCGGGUUGUAAAGCACUUUCAGUCGUGAGGAAGGYRGYGUKGUUAAUAGCUGCAUURUUUGACGUUAGCGACAGAAGAAGCACCGGCUAACUCCGUGCCAGCAGCCGCGGUAAUACGGAGGGUGCGAGCGUUAAUCGGAAUUACUGGGCGUAAAGCGCAUGCAGGUGGUUUGUUAAGUCAGAUGUGAAAGCCCGGGGCUCAACCUCGGAAUAGCAUUUGAAACUGGCAGACUAGAGUACUGUAGAGGGGGUAGAAUUUCAGGUGUAGCGGUGAAAUGCGUAGAGAUCUGAAGGAAUACCGGUGGCGAAGCGGCCCCCUUGGACAGAUACUG
rnacentral:rRNA from 1 species